rnacentral:rRNA from 1 species
CCUACGGGAGGCUGCAGUGGGGAAUAUUGGACAAUGGGGGGAACCCUGAUCCAGCCAUGCCGCGUGUGUGAAGAAGGCCCUCGGGUUGUAAAGCACUUUCAGUGAGGAAGAACGCCUGGUGGUUAAUACCCAUCAGGAAAGACAUCACUCACAGAAGAAGCACCGGCUAACUCCGUGCCAGCAGCCGCGGUAAUACGGAGGGUGCGAGCGUUAAUCGGAAUUACUGGGCGUAAAGCGCGCGUAGGUGGCUUGAUAAGCCGGUUGUGAAAGCCCCGGGCUCAACCUGGGAACGGCAUCCGGAACUGUCAAGCUAGAGUGCAGGAGAGGAAGGUAGAAUUCCCGGUGUAGCGGUGAAAUGCGUAGAGAUCGGGAGGAAUACCAGUGGCGAAGGCGGCCUUCUGGACUGACACUGACACUGAGGAGCGAAAGCGUGGGUAGCAAACAGGAUUAGAUACCCGAGUAGUC